GGCCUAACUCACUCCGGCCGGAGAACCUAUAUACCCUGACUCAGCAAGGUUUCGCGUGGCUGGGCGGAGGGAUUCGAGCAACACCAUGAACUCACCAAUACCACGCUCAGUGACCAAGAAAAAAACCAAAGUGACAACAUGAUAACAGUUCUGCUGUUCAAUCAUCUACCUCAACAUUUAAAAAUUCAUCCCCUUUCACGUGUCCUCCCCCCACAGGAAAUAGCAGCCUAUUACUUGCUCAAGAACAAGUUGCAGAAUACUCAAGCCAAGGAGGACAAGACGUUAGUGACUGUGCAAAUUUAAAGGAUAUAGCAACACACCUCAGUUUGAGAGGCUGAGUACAGUUAUGAUCCAUUAUGCUGUAAUUCAAUCCUUAGGUUACUAGUAGCAAGUAACUAACUGGAAGUAUGUUUCAGCUAUUUUGGAGGGACUUUCACUCCCCACCAGGCAGCAGCCCUGAAGUGAAAUAACUGUGGAAAGUUGAUACCUUUAUAAGAACAACUUUCAAAUGCAACAGCAACCUUUUUGCACUCCAAAUUAAAAUGGCAGCCAUCACA